UCCAUGACUGGAUGAAUGGCUGCAGCUGUGGUGCAUUGUAGUUGCAUUGCAUGUGUCCUUGAUGUGCAAUGCACCUGCAAUGUAAUACAGAGCCAGACCCUGACACCAGUUCUACAG
rnacentral:pre_miRNA from 17 species